GCCGGGCGUGGUGGUGCAUGCCUGUAAUCCCAGCAGCUGGGGAGGCUGAGACAGGAGGAUCGCGAGUUCAAAGCCAGUCUCAGCAAAAACAAGGCGCUCAGCAACUCAGUGAGACCCUGUCCCUA
rnacentral:sRNA from 1 species